UACGGGGGGGGCAGGCGUUGUUCGGAAUUACUGGGCGUAAAGGGCUCGUAGGCGGCCAACUAAGUCAGACGUGAAAUCCCUAGGCUCAACCUAGGAACUGCGUCUGAUACUGGAUGGCUUGAAUCCGGGAGAGGGAUGCAGAAUUCCAGGUGUAGCGGUGAAAUGCGUAGAUAUCUGGAGGAAUACCGGUGGCGAAGGCGGCAUCCUGGACCGGCAUUGACGCUGAGGAGCGAAAGCCAGGGGAGCAAACGGG
rnacentral:rRNA from 1 species